rnacentral:lncRNA from 1 species
UGAGCCCAAAUAUUCGUGCUUCACCGAUUACAGAUGCUCAGUUUUCUCCUUAUGUUGGUGGAAUGGCUUUCUCCCCCAGUUCAUCUCCAGGUUACAGUCCAUCAUCUCCAGGCUACAGUCCAUCAUCUCCGGGAUACAGUCCUACUUCUCCAGGUUAUAGCCCUACUUCUCCAGGAUACAGCCCUACAUCUCCCGGUUAUAGUCCCACUUCUCCGACCUACAGUCCUAGCUCUCCUGGAUAUAGUCCUACAAGUCCUGCUUACUCUCCGACAAGUCCAUCAUAUUCGCCAACUUCUCCCAGCUACAGCCCGACCUCUCCCAGUUAUAGCCCUACAUCUCCUACUUAUAGUCCUACUUCCCCCAGUUACAGCCCAACUUCCCCCAGUUACAGUCCUACUUCGCCAAGCUACAGCCCUACUUCUCCAGUUUACAGUCCGACUUCCCCAGCCUACAGUCCAACAUCUCCUGCCUACAGCCCAACCUCACCAUCCUAUAGUCCAACAUCACCUUCCUAUAGUCCGACAUCACCUUCAUAUAGCCCAACAUCACCUUCAUAUAGCCCGACUUCACCAUCAUACAGUCCUACCUCACCUGCCUAUAGCCCAACUUCUCCGGGAUACAGUCCAACAUCUCCUAGCUAUAGUCCUACAUCCCCAAGUUAUAGCCCCACAUCUCCAAGUUACAAUCCUGCCUCAGCAAAGUACAGUCCUUCGCUUGCUUAUUCUCCAAGCAGUCCAAGG